GCGGAAACGGCAGUAUUGAAGCUUCGGUGGAUUUACUGGACGUCGAGCGGCGGACGGGUGAGUAACGGCUGGGAACCUGCCCUGACGAGGGGGAUAACCGUUGGAAACGACGGCUAAUACCGCAUAAUGUCUUAGUUCAUUACGAGCUGGGACCAAAGGUGGCCUCUACAUGUAAGCUAUCGCGUURGGAUGGGCCCAGUUAGGAUUAGCUAGUUGGUAAGGUAACGGCUUACCAAGGCGACGAUCCUUAGCUGGUUUGAGAGGAUGAUCAGCCACACUGGGACUGAGACACGGCCCAGACUCCUACGGGAGGCAGCAGUGGGGAAUAUUGCACAAUGGGGGAGACCCUGAUGCAGCCAUGCCGCGUGUGUGAAGAAGGCCUUCGGGUUGUAAAGCACUUUCAGCAGUGAGGAAGGUAGUGUACUUAAUACGUGCAUUGCUUGACGUUAGCUGCAGAAGAAGCACCGGCUAACUCCGUGCCAGCAGCCGCGGUAAUACGGAGGGUGCGAGCGUUAAUCGGAAUUACUGGGCGUAAAGCGCAUGCAGGCGGUUUGUUAAGUCAGAUGUGAAAGCCCGGGGCUCAACCUCGGAACCGCAUUUGAAACUGGCAGGCUAGAGUCUUGUAGAGGGGGGUAGAAUUUCAGGUGUAGCGGUGAAAUGCGUAGAGAUCUGAAGGAAUACCAGUGGCGAAGGCGGCCCCCUGGACAAAGACUGACGCUCAGAUGCGAAAGCGUGGGUAGCAAACAGGAUUAGAUACCCUGGUAGUCCACGCCGUAAACGAUGUCUACUUGGAGGCUGAGGUUUAAGACUUUGGCUUUCGGAGCUAACGCAUUAAGUAGACCGCCUGGGGAGUACGGCCGCAAGGUUAAAACUCAAAUGAAUUGACGGGGGCCCGCACAAGCGGUGGAGCAUGUGGUUUAAUUCGAUGCAACGCGAAGAACCUUACCUACUCUUGACAUCCAGCGAAUCCUUUAGAGAUAGAGG
rnacentral:rRNA from 1 species